UAGAGAGUUGUCCAAGCCUAUUGUCAUUCCCAGAUACAGGGUUUCCGCCCAUGCUUACAUACCUUUCAAUUAGCUAUUGUGAAGUUCUACAUUCUUUGCCGCCGAUACUUACAUGCCUUCCGAAACUAGUGUUCCCCAGAUCCAAGGAUAUGGAGAACUGCUACAAAUCCCUUGAAACUUUGUUCUUAUCAUCAUGUGAUGCUCUCAAACCCAUGUGGCUUGGAUUCUUUCCAAAGCUUCAAUCUCUAGAAAUCCAGCUUUGUACAAAUUUCAACAGUAUUACAGAUCUAAACAUGCUUGGGCUUCAAAAUUUGACAUCUCUCGAGUCACUUUUCUUAAAUGGGUUCUCUAAUCUGAUAUCUUUUCUCCGAGGAGGACUACCCGGACUCAAUCUGACUGACUUUAGGAUCUGGCAUUGUGAGAAGCUCAAGUCGCUGCCUGAAGGAAUGCAUACUCUCUUCCCAUAAUCACUAGAAUUAUAUGGUUGUCCAGAAAUUGAGUCUUUUCCGGAAGGAGGGCUUCCCGCCAGCUUACAUUCACUUGAAAUAACAAAUUGCAGCAAACUUAUCGCUCGCCGAAGAGAAUGGGAUUUGCAAAGACUCCCUUCUCUUCGACACUUCACAUUAGCAGGUAAAUAUGUCAUGGAGUGGGGGGAGUCCUUUCGGGAAGAUGGGGUGGAGUCCUUUCCGGAGGAGGGGUUGUUGCCCUUGACUCUUAUGUCACUCUGGAUUGAAUAUCUACCAAAUCUCAAAUCAUUGAACAACAGGGGCCUUCAAGUCCUUGGCUCUCUCAAAUACAUGAAGAUUGUGAAAUGCCCUAAGCUCCAAUCCUUGGUCGAAGAGGGGCUUCCCACCUCUCUCUUUAUGCUGGAAUUGUUUGGCCGUCCAAUUCUAAAACCUCGUUACCUCCACGGGGAAGGACAGGACUGGCAUAAGAUUGCUUGUGUCCAUGUUAUACACAUGGAUGGUGAAGUGAUCUUUGAGCAACUCACUCUUCGUCCAGCAAUGGAUUCUGAACCUCGUACACUGAUGGAGCAAUCGGAGAUCAUUCAGGAAUGUCUAAGAUGUUGAUGAUCUUUUACCAUGAUGUUGAAGUAAAUGUGUAACCCUCUUAGCUUCAACUUUCAACUUUUACAGGAUUUUGAAUUAAAACAGUUCUGAUGAUGCAACUUGGAGGAAUCGAAGUUGGAUAAAAAAAAAGAUUGAUAUGCUCUGUAAUGAUGUUCUGCUUUUUAACUUAGAAUAAGACCAAUCCAAUUUUUGAGUCUUGGAGUAAAACAUAUUAUGUGGAGAUUCUUUUUUUUUUUUUGGUUCCAGCUAUUGGAUUGGUGAACACAUUUGAAUGUCAAUGUUCUACAUUAAAAACAUGUUUUUAUGUGACUCAGUUAUGUUCUUGUCAUAAUCAGCUAAAAAUUUGUGUUAUGUAAUGUCCCUUUUUCAGGAAAAUGUGUAUAUAGCGAUCUCGGGUCUGUCCCCUUUAUGUGCAGUGUACCGGUCUUAGGUUCCGUGGAGUUGGUGGUUGUAUAUCCUGUUGUCAUCCUUUAAAUCCAGUUUGUCUGAGUUUCAGGAUGUGUUGGGCGUGUUUUGAACAGGCUGGUUGAGCCUUAGUCCCUUUCCCUUGUUGCCCAGAGUUUUGGUGGUACGCUCGAGCGGGUCCCUUUGCGCUCGAGCGGAAGGUGGAUUUUUGGCUGUACGCUCGAGCGGACCAUAUCACGCUCGAGCGGAGUUCUCACACUUCCAGUAUCGGUGCCUCAGUAAAACUUCUGCAGAUGUGUUUUUCACGCUCGAGCGGGUUUCCUUACGCUCGAGCGGGGUGUACAUUGUCUGCGAAAGUUCUGAGAGGGGGUAAUCAACGCUCGAGCGAACUGGUUUUCGAGCUCGAGCGGAUACUUUUUGUUCUUGUGUCUUGGCGCUCGAGCAGGCCUUUUUGCGCUCGAGCGGGUCCAGUUUUUGUGCUUGACGCUCGAGCGUUCUAUUCUACGCUCGAGCGGAUCAUGCAUAUAUCAGUUGGCAGCUGGGCAUUCUUGCAUCACUUUUCAACAUCCUUUCUCUCUCUUACUUUUUCGAAAAAGCUAUUCAAGAGCUUCCCUCACUAAAACUCAACUUCUCUCUUAGGAUUGAUCUAGUUAGAUUGUUCUCCUACCCUUUGGCCUUUACAAAAGUUGUGUUGAUCGUCGAGGGCUACGUUUUGA